rnacentral:lncRNA from 1 species
UUGGAUUUCAAACUUUAGUUCGGUUAAUUUUGAACUAGAAUUUCCUUAGUGGAGGAUGCGAUGAUUAGGGAUACCUACAGAUUUCUGUUGAAUUGGUUUUGGUGAAGGUAGAGCGGGAGGACCAUAUAAAGAGGGAAAUUAUUCUCCGAUAUUACUUUUUAUUUUUUUUGUUCUUUCUUCAUUUUCUUCUUUGGUUCGUCCUGGAAGAGAAAAGGAUUAAGGUGCGUCUGUUGGGAAACAUAUUGUAGUAAACAUGUAAUUAUUUUCUAUGUAUUUAAACGAUAAAUAAAUAAAUGAAAUUAAGUUCACAUUUCACUAUUAUGUCUUUUUUUUC